AGCGCCAACGAAUUCGCGAGACGAAGCGCGGUGCUACAGCCUAUUCGUCGGGGUCGGAAUUAUGCGAAACGGAGGUGUUGGCGUACGUUCAUUUGCUAAGUUGUUUGUCGCGUAUACAUGACGCUUCGCCAAGGACGCUCGGCGUACGCAAGACAAGGUUAUCAUUCGCUAUCAUUCACGAGCGACUAAUACGUUAUUCUUUCGGACAUGAUAGCGACAAGUUGCAGAUUAGCUAAGCGUUCUCAGAACGGAGCCGAUGAAGAUAUCUCGAAGUAAACUUCACGCGGUUCAUUCGUCCAAAGACCUCACGAAAACUGACGAAAGUGAGCGAACUUGCUGCUCCGAUAUUUAUGCAAGGAUUGUGCGUCGCAUACGAUUAAUAUCGGAAGAUGCCGUUCAGAGUGCUGCGCGAAUUUUACAAAUAAUACGCGUACGAUCGUAAUUAACCUCAUUUUCGCAAGUGUCAACAACGGAAUUAAGCAGCGAGAGGCGGCAGGCGACAGCGGAGCAAACAGUCAAAUCAACGUAGUUCACAACUCCGCUGUUGCGCAUCGUGCCGAAUCACAUCAUGUGACGCAGUCAUACAAAAACGACGGAUGAUCGAACGGCAGGAUCACGAAUGGCAUAUCUAUAAGAUACGAUACUGGAAAGCAAAAAUCAUCAGUCAGGCCGAAGAUCUCCGGAGGGUGAUGUCCGUCUGGUGUUCGCCCGCCGGCCAAUAACACCCCAUUCGCCCUUACCGAGUCACACACCCUGGAAUCCAAAGUCGUCGCACCCUGUGUGAAAAAUGAUCUUCCCUAAAUUGCUCGCUUACAUGAUAAAUAUACUAUACUCUCGGCGUACAUAUUGCCUCGUACGUAAGAAGCGUGUCGCGCCAAUGUAUCAUUUGUACUGUAUUUAAAAAUGUUACUUUAAUGAAUUAUUUUUAUAACAU